UGACUCCCUCCCUCUUCUUCUCCCUUGCCCUCGCAAGAUGUCGGUGCAGAUAGAAAAAAAAGGCGCUAUGAGUGUUCUGCCCUCCCGCGCGGCUGGAAAAGAGAGGAAGUGCUGAGGAAAACUGGGCUGACUUGCGGUAAAGUAGAUGUGUAUUAUUACAGCCCCAAUGGCAAGAAGUUCCGAAGCAAGCCCCAGUUGACCCGCUACCUCGCUGACACUGUUGACCUUUCCUCCUUUGAUUUUCGGACUGGGAAGGUCAACCCAAUGCUGGCGAGGAAGAACAAGAAGCCCCGUGGUACCCUCUUUGAUUACAGGUGUUGUCUCCUGCUGCUACUGCAGCGCUGCGCGCCGCUCCGCGCAGCCCCGCCCCAUCCCGCCCCGCAGAUUUUAAGAAAGAUAACGCAACACUAAUGAAUGAAUAAAUAAUGAGGUGCGUAAACACGAUUUUUUUUUUUUCUUCAAAAUUCAUUCUUCUAGUACAGAUUAUGUGGAGUAAAGUUUUACCAAUACAUUCUCCUUAUUACAAUUUCUUUCAAAGUGCUUAAACAUGUGUAUCACUUCCAUAGAUCACGCAAGCAGAAACUUUUAUUUGUAUUUGCGGUAUUUAUUAUUAUUUUAUAUUUAUUUAUCUAUUUUUAAACAAAUUACAACUUUUAGAAGAGCAUUACAAAAAUCUAUUUGAAUUCAGUGAUCAUAGCUAUGGAGAGAGAGAGAGAGAGAGAGAGAGAGAGAGAGAGAGAGAGAGAAGGAUAAGGAA